rnacentral:rRNA from 1 species
AUGAAACACUCCUACGGGAGGCAGCAGUGGGGAAUUUUGGACAAUGGGCGAAAGCCUGAUCCAGCCAUGCCGCGUGAGUGAAGAAGGCCUUCGGGUUGUAAAGCUCUUUCGGACGGAAAGAAAUCGCGCGGGCUAAUAUCCCGCGUGGAUGACGGUACCGUAAGAAGAAGCACCGGCUAACUACGUGCCAGCAGCCGCGGUAAUACGUAGGGUGCGAGCGUUAAUCGGAAUUACUGGGCGUAAAGCGUGCGCAGGCGGUUUUGUAAGACAGGUGUGAAAUCCCCGGGCUUAACCUGGGAACUGCGCUUGUGACUGCAAGGCUAGAGUACGGCAGAGGGGGGUGGAAUUCCACGUGUAGCAGUGAAAUGCGUAGAGAUGUGGAGGAACACCGAUGGCGAAGGCAGCCCCCUGGGCCUGUACUGACGCUCAUGCACGAAAGCGUGGGGAGCAAACAGGAUUAGAUACCCUAGUAGUCCGAAGUUC